UAGGUGAACCUGCGGAAGGAUCAUUACCGAGUGUAGGGUUCCUAGCGAGCCCAACCUCCCACCCGUGUUUACUGUACCUUAGUUGCUUCGGCGGGCCCGCCAUUCGUGGCCGCCGGGGGCUCUCAGCCCCGGGCCCGCGCCCGCCGGAGACACCACGAACUCUGUCUGAUCUAGUGAAGUCUGAGUUGAUUGUAUCGCAAUCAGUUAAAACUUUCAACAAUGGAUCUCUUGGUUCCGGCAUCGAUGAAGAACGCAGCGAAAUGCGAUAACUAGUGUGAAUUGCAGAAUUCCGUGAAUCAUCGAGUCUUUGAACGCACAUUGCGCCCCCUGGUAUUCCGGGGGGCAUGCCUGUCCGAGCGUCAUUGCUGCCCAUCAAGCACGGCUUGUGUGUUGGGUCGUCGUCCCCUCUCCGGGGGGGACGGGCCCCAAAGGCAGCGGCGGCACCGCGUCCGAUCCUCGAGCGUAUGGGGCUUGUCACCCGCUCUGUAGGCCCGGCCGGCGCUUGCCGAACGCAAAUCAAUCUUUUCCAGGUUGACCUCGGAUCAGGUAGGGAUACCCGCUGAACUUAAGCAUAUCAAUAAGCG
rnacentral:rRNA from 1 species